AAAACAAACACAAAUCCCAUUACACACAUUGCUAUCGCGGUGACAAGAUUUUUGUUGUUUUGAGUUCUGUGUUGUGUGUGUGUAUUUGCAUUGAAUGAAUAUGAAUUGAAAUUUGUAAAAUCCACAGAGCCUGCGCCCCCGCUCCUAGAACUGUGGGCAGCAGCGGGCAGCGACGCCAGCAGAGGUUAUCAGGCGGAGGCCCGAUGAUAGCCCCCAAUCUUGGACACCGAGUGCACCAUCAUAUGGGCUGUUGUUUAUUACAAUUAUAACCGACGCUAAUGACCGGGGACGGAUUGGUUCGGAACGCUUCGGUUUCGGAUCCCCAUGGGUGCAGUCGUGUAUGCUCUACGUACAAUCAUCUGAUCGGAACGGAACGGUUCGAAUCGGAUCCGGCUCUGAAAACCCCUGUAAUCAUCAUCAUGUCAUGCUCGUGCAGGCAUUGGACCUAAAUAUAGAAUUGAUUCUUAAUCGAAGUCAUGUUCAAUUUUUCGUCGGUAGUAGUAGGGUUUCCACUGCUCCGUGGUUCAAGUUCAGGCGAUAACCCUUCGAGGCGGGGAGCGGGUUGCCAUGGGGGCGAUGCCGAACGGAAAUUGAAACUUGAAGAUUAAACGGAAUUGGAACAUCACAAUGAUCAGAAAUAAAUGUCCGCUUUGAUGGGUAGCCGUUCUUAUGAGUGAUGGUUGAAACAUUUUAAGUAAAUGAAAGUGAUGGGUUUUUUAAAAAUAUGCAAGCUCGUGUAAAAGGGGAGCAGAUGCUAACAGAUUCCUAAAGAGGAGAUUGCUUUUACGUACAAUAUUGAAUGGGACCCACAUUGGAAAAAGUGGAAUUUCUUAAUGCAGGAAAAAUGUUGUUCUUUGGAAACCACAUUCUUACCUUUAACCAUGAAAGCACAUUAAAACAACUCCCUGAAACUGAUUUUUCAUUUAAAAAAUUAAAGGAAAUUACUCCAAAUUUGUGUUACAAUAUUCCGAAUUCUUCUAGUUAUGUGCAUUUUUUUAAUCAAAAUUGAAAUAGAAACCGAAAUCAUUUUGCGUCUAAAAUGGGUUCAGAGAGAAGAAAGCGAGUGUCUUGAAGUCAUAAAUGGAAUCCACAUUUUAAAAAAGCAAGAAAAAUAAAGUUUUUUUCAUAAUUAGAUUCAUGUAUAAAAUAAUAUAUCAUUAUUAUCUCCAUAAUGGUAAACCGUUUUCCAAUUAAUAGCUUCCUUAUGUUUUGAAACCUUUUGUAGCUGUAUAUGGGAAUGAAGAAUUUAUGGAAUCGAAAUGGAAUCCACAUCUGAAAAUUA